rfam:Triticum urartu cultivar G1812 contig472934, whole genome shotgun sequence.
AAACUACUCCCUCCAUUUCAAAUUUUUUUGUCUUAGAUUAGUCUAGAUACGGAUGUAUCUAAUACUAAAACGUGACUUGAUACAUCCAUAUUUAAAAAAAAAUCUAAGACAAGAAUUUUGGGGCGGAGGGAGUAUUAU